rnacentral:rRNA from 1 species
UACAGAGGUCCCAAGCGUUGUUCGGAUUCAUUGGGCGUAAAGGGUGCGUAGGUGGCGCUGUAAGUCAGGUGUGAAAUUUCGGAGCUCAACUUCGAAACUGCAUUUGAUACUGCGGUGCUUGAGGACUGGAGAGGAGACUGGAAUUUACGGUGUAGCAGUGAAAUGCGUAGAGAUCGUAAGGAAGACCAGUGGCGAAGGCGGGUCUCUGGACAGUUCCUGACACUGAGGCACGAAGGCCAGGGGAGCAAACGGG